ACGGAAGGCAGCAGUGGGGAAUAUUGCACAAUGGGGGAAACCCUGAUGCAGCGACGCCGCGUGAGUGAAGAAGUUAUUCGUAAUGUAAAGCUCUAUCAGCAGGGAAGAAAAUGACGGUACCUGACUAAGAAGCCCCGGCUAACUACGUGCCAGCAGCCGCGGUAAUACGUAGGGGGCAAGCGUUAUCCGGAUUUACUGGGUGUAAAGGGAGCGUAGACGGUCUGGCAAGUCUGAUGUGAAAGGCAGGGGCUCAACUCCUGGACUGCAUUGGAAACUGUCAGUCUUGAGUAUCGGAGAGGUAAGCGGAAUUCCUAGUGUAGCGGUGAAAUGCGUAGAUAUUAGGAGGAACACCAGUGGCGAAGGCGGCUUACUGGACGAUAACUGACGUUGAGGCUCGAAAGCGUGGGGAGCAAACAGGAUUAGAUACCCUGGUA
rnacentral:rRNA from 1 species